GAUGAAGAACGUAGCGAAAUGCGAUACGUAAUGUGAAUUGCAGAAUUCAGUGAAUCAUCGAAUCUUUGAACGCAUAUUCCGCUCUUUGGUAUUCCGAAGAGCAUGCUUGUUUGAGUAUCAGUAAACACCUCAACCUCUUCUUGAUUUUUCAAAAGGAGGGUGGACUUGAGCUAUCCCAACAACCUUUACCGGUCGGCGGGCGGCUUGAAAUGCAGGUGCAGCUGGACUUUUAUCUGAGCUAAAAGCAUAUCUAUUUAGUCCUCGUCAAACAGGAUUAUUACUUUUGCUGCAGCUAACAUAAAGGAUAAUUGUCCUCUUUGCUGACUGAUGCAGGAUUUUACGACACUUUAUGUGUUGUUCAACUCGAUCUCAAAUCAAGUAAGACUACCCGCUGAACUUAAGCAUAUCAAUAAGCGGAGGA
rnacentral:misc_RNA from 1 species